CUCUGGAGAUCCCUGCUUACUUGAAGCUUUUUGAAGUAAUGACUUCCCAAUCCCAAGGGGACAGAACACUUGAGCCUCAACAGUUCCUGGGAUCACGGAGCAUCAGCUGGCACUGAGGUAUUCUUGGGAGGACCCUGCCCUAGUCUGAAGAGCCCAGGAGCGAAGACCACUGUCUAUGUUAUUGUUAAAGGAAGCCAAGCCAGCAAAGACAGAAAUUUCACCUGGAAUUGAAACUGCGGCAGUGCCUUUGGCAUGGGCAGGGGAGGUGCCUGGAAGAUCAAAAAGAACUGAGCCAGUUAAGGAUAGACAAGCCAGGAUUCGUACCACACAUCCAUUCCAACUGAGAGGCUUGGUGUAUGUCAAGUCCUGGACAUCCAAAACACUGCAAGAGAAGUGGAAAGGACCCUUCCAAGUUCUACUGACUGCCUACACUCUAGUGAAACUAGAAGGAAAAGAACCCUGGAUUCAUUAUUCUCAGAUUAAGAAGAUGCCUUCCAUGUAGAAAACUGAACAGACUACUUCGCUGUUGAAAGUUAACUUAAAUAAGUAAGCAUAGUGUAUAAAGUAACUUUGCUCACAGGAAUUUGCUUUGUAGGCUGUGAAGGACAGAAAAGUAAUGUACAUUUACAAAUAGUAGGCAGACUAGCUAAUGUAACUAAUUCCUCUACUGGAUAUGUACUCAGUUACCAAGGAGCAUACAGAUACAGUAUCCACUAGCAGUAACAUUGUCAAACCAGACAGAAAUAAACAGAACUGAGGACAACAACAGCUGUCUGGUAUGUGUUGAUAUGGAAAACAAAAAUGAAUCCAGAACUAAAAAUGCACAGCAAUUUCCAUUGUUUAUGGUCUUAUGGGGAGAGAACUGAACAAACAGCACAAGCCUCGGGGUAAAUUUACCAGGCAGAUCCACGUGUAGGACCAAACUGAAUCAUUCUAUACCUUCAUUUUGCAAUUUUACGCAGGGCCUAACCAAACAAUUCACCAAAAAUAUGAGAAGAGACACUUAUAGACAUCAGGUGUUUCCUUAUAGCUAUCUUUUCUAUGCAUACCAUGCUGUCUCUGUAGCAUGUAAAACCAGUGGCUGUUCCCCAAGGAGCCUACAUCUUUGUCCAGUGACUUCUGUUGCCUGGCUCCUUUUUAACAAUCCUGCAUGCAUCUCAAUUUAUGGAAUUUGCCUCAGCUUUCAUUAUGUCAGUUAUACAAAAGCAUUCAGGAUUUAAACAGUUCAACUACCACUCUCUUAGUUUAUAGAGCUAGUAGGUACUCUCCUAAUGGAAUAUGAUGUCUACUUUCUAAUUCACAAUGGCUUGAUUCAAAGAAGAGCUCCCAAGGAGUGGAACCUAGCCCAUAAAUGGAGAUAUUGAAAUGGAAUGUUAGAAUCAUUAAGGUUGGAAAAGACCACUAAGAUCAUCAUGUCCAACCAUCAAACCAUCACCACUGUGCCCGCUAAUCCAUGUCCCUAAGUGCCACAUCUACCCUUUUCUUGAAAGCCACCAGGAACAGUGACUCCACCACUUCCCUGGACAGCCUGUUCCAUUGUUUGACCACUCUUUCAGAGAAUGAAUUUUUCAGAAUAUACAGACUGAACCUCUCCCUGCCACAAAUUAAUGCC